CUGUAGUGACUUACCGAACCGUUAUCGCACUGUUAACCGCUAACGGCUCUGUAAAUAAAAGUGGGUGUUGCUUGAACGCCCGAUAGCGGUAACGGCUCUGUAAACUAUAGACUACUGGACCUGUAAAAUACAGAUCGGAUUUUGGUUCUGUAACUUACAGAUCGAUUAAUUAUACGAAUGUUAUCAAUGUUAUUGGUGACAAUUUUGAUACUGAAUUGUUUAUUUAAUUAUUUGUUUUGACUCAAUAAUUAAAUAUUUUCAUUUUUCAUUGUUUCUUUUUAAAAUUAAUAAUCAAUGGAUUCGUCGGCUUCAUCUUCAUCUAGUGAUGAUGAAUUAUUUAUUAUUGAUGUUUUACAAUUGCUACCAAGACCACGAUUUUUUCGAGACAGGUCUAAUCCACUGGCAGAUUAUGAUGAUGUAAAUGUGUUGUGCUUAAUAAUUAUUAUUUUCUGUAAAAAUUUUUUUUCUAUACAUUAUUGGUCUAUAUACCACUUUAAAUUUUGUAAAAGGGCUAGUCCCGUUGAAUUCUAAAUAAAUAAGUAAAUAAAUAAAUAACAUUUGUGACGUCCCACUAAUCAAGCGUAUACAGACUGUCCGCCAACCGUGAAAGUUAACGUUAUCGGGUAAACAUAGGUAGUUCUAAUGUCAUAUCGGUGCGCCCGCACCAGCUGCAGCUCGUUUCCAUGUUUUUCAGAGGUUCGGACUUCAGAUAAUACAUGGGUUUUGCGAAACGUUUUCCAAGUUUCCCACCCGUGUCCAGCUGACCACCGAGCCAAGCGCCAACUCACGUCUCACGCAUCGUCACGAAGUAAUGGAUAGACAUUAUCAAUCUGCUCUUGAAGAAACUGCAACAGACGCUGGAGAAUUAUCAAAACAAGAAAUAUUGAAAAAAUCAUAUACCUAACCGUAGUGUAAAUUAUUCAUCUUCAGAUUCUAAAGAUAAGCAGAAACGUCAUCGUUUGAGGAGGAGUAGUAACUAUGAUAAAUGGAACCAACAAAAUGAACCAUAUUAUUAUAAAAAAACAAGAAAAAGUGGUACCUAUCCGUGAUCACCGAUUCAGUAGAACACCAUCUAUUAGAAAUAAAGAUGAACCUUCAAUUCCUAAUGUCAGACUUCAAGAUAUACCAAUUAGAACUACUUGAGAUGAAGAUAAUCAAAAUAUGUCUUAAUAUAAAUCUACUUGGGACAUGCCCACCCAUAUCAAGUAUUGAUGAUGAUUACUUAAACACCAAGAUUUACGCCAGCGUAGAAGUAUAACAAGUAGGAUAGUAAUCGUGGUUCAGGAGCUACACCUAAUACUGGAAAAGAUCAUUAGACGAUUUACUAAUAAGUACUGUUGCUGAAAACCUAAGAACCAAUCUAGAGCUAACACCGUGUUGUUACUGAAAUCAUUAGGAAUUCAAGACUUACUCCAGUUUCAUUUUAUGGACCCUACAGCCUCCUCCACAAGAAACAUUUUUAAUUCUUUAUAUCAGUUGUAGGUACUGGGAGCACAGGAUCAGAAACUUUCACAAAACCAAAAAAAUUAGUAUAAAUAUGAUAGGCAAAUACAAAUGUAAAUUUAACAAUAUUAGCCAUAUUACAAAAUGUUUAAAAUUUAGUUUGUAUUCAAUUUAGUUAUACUAUAGGCAAUAAAAAUAACAUAUUAUUAUGUACAUUGAUAUAAUAGUCAAAAAUAUAUAUAUACCAUAGUUAAAUACAUAUUAUUUAUGUUUCUAAUUUAAUUACUUUGCAACGUAUUGAUAUCCAAAUUAUACCACACUUA